GACGCGGGGCAGGUGCUGUGGGGGUGGUGGAAGUUUCGGUUCAGCGUCGUCGGGGAGCUGCCUGGAGGAGAUGGCAAGUGGCCGAGAGGAAGAUAAAUAGUUCGUUGGUGGCCUGAUACAAGCAAAAAGGACCCAAAAGACUAUUUUACCAAAUUUGGAGAGGUCCUUGACCAUACUAUAAAAAUGGAUCCCAACAUUGGAAGAUGAAGGGGUUUGGGGUUUAUCCCCUUUAAAAAUGGAGAAGAUGGAUUAGGAGGUAAAUAACCCAAACAGAGCAUACUGCACCAUAUGGAGAAAAGAACUUGCAAUUGGAUACAGUGGAGAAGGGGAUAGAAAAGCAUGUAUGGAGACUGUAUCUCACAAGUCCAGGAUGAGGCAGGCAAUACUUCUAAAUCAGUCAAAAGUGUUUUGAGCCCAGCCAGCAUGGCUCAGUGGUUGAGCAUCGACCUAUGAACCAGGAGGUCACAGUUCCAUUCCCGGUCAAGGACACAUGCCUGGGUUGCAGGCUCAAUUCCCAGUGGGUAGUGUGCAAGAGGCAGCCAAUCAAUGACCCUCUCUCAUCAUUGAUGU